rnacentral:tRNA from 1 species
ACAGCAAGCGGCGGGGGUUCGAUUCCCUCACGGCGUAACGCCGUUGGUGAAAUGGUUAUCAUGCUUGCCUUCCAUU